GCUAGCGGCAGGCCUAACACAUGCAAGUCGAGGGGUAACAGGAAAGCUUGCUUUCGCUGACGACCGGCGCACGGGUGCGUAACGCGUAUGCAACCUACCUCAUACUGGAGGAUAGCCCUUGGAAACGAGGAUUAAUACUCCAUAGUAUCACGAAUUCGCAUGUUUUUGUGAUUAAAGUUUUUCGGUAUGAGAUGGGCAUGCGUCCCAUUAGCUAGUUGGUGAGGUAACGGCUCACCAAGGCGACGAUGGGUAGGGGGCCUGAGAGGGUGGUCCCCCACACUGGUACUGAGACACGGACCAGACUCCUACGGGAGGCAGCAGUGAGGAAUAUUGGUCAAUGGAGGCAACUCUGAACCAGCCAUGCCGCGUGAAGGAUGACGGCCCUAUGGGUUGUAAACUUCUUUUAUAUGGGAAGAAACUUAUCUACGUGUAGAUAACUGACGGUACCAUACGAAUAAGGAUCGGCUAACUCCGUGCCAGCAGCCGCGGUAAUACGGA
rnacentral:rRNA from 1 species